GGCCGGUUAGCUCUGUUGGUUAGAGCGUGGUGCUGAUAACACCAAGGUCGCGGGAUCGACCCCGUUCGGUCC
rnacentral:tRNA from 1 species